UACGUAGGUGGCAAGCGUUGUCCGGAUUUACUGGGUGUAAAGGGCGUGUAGGCGGGAAAUUAAGUCAGAUGUGAAAGUCCAUGGCUCAACUGUGGGAGUGCAUCUGAAACUGAUUUUCUUGAGUACUGGAGGGGAAAGCGGAAUUCCAAGUGUAGCGGUGAAAUGCGUAGAGAUUUGGAGUAACACCAGUGGCGAAGGCGGCUUUCUGGACAGUAACUGACGAUGAGGCGCGAAAGCGUGGGGAGCAAACAGG
rnacentral:rRNA from 1 species